rnacentral:rRNA from 1 species
AGCGAACGCUGGCGGCAGGCUUAACACAUGCAAGUCGAGCGGGCAUCCUUGUGGUGUCAGCGGCAGACGGGUGAGUAACGCGUGGGAACGUGCCCUUCGGUUCGGAAUAACUCAGGGAAACUUGAGCUAAUACCGGAUACGUGCGAGAGCAGAAAGGUUUAUCUGCCGAAGGAUCGGCCCGCGUCUGAUUAGCUAGUUGGUGAGGUUAUGGCUCACCAAGGCGACGAUCAGUAGCUGGUCUGAGAGGAUGAUCAGCCACACUGGGACUGAGACACGGCCCAGACUCCUACGGGAGGCAGCAGUGGGGAAUAUUGGACAAUGGGGGCAACCCUGAUCCAGCCAUGCCGCGUGAGUGGUGACGGCCUUAGGGUUGUAAAGCUCUUUUCUCCGGGACGAUAAUGACGGUACCGGAGGAAUAAGCCCCGGCUAACUUCGUG